UUUAUUAAAAACAAGAGAAAAGUCAAAAAGUAACAUGUAAGAAGAAAUGCAGAAAAGGAUGACAUUAACAGCUACAGUUCAUAAAGCAUUGAACAUUUGUUUAAUAUAACACUUUUUGGUUCUUCACCAACUAUUCUGGCAUGACAGUACACAAAUAAAUCACAACAUUAACUCUGAUAUUAUAACAUUUAACAGACGUGUGUGUGUGUGUGUGUGUGUGUAAGAAUGUGAGCAUGUGUAUGAAUGACAGAGUGUAAACUCUUCUACUAAACAACACAGAAAAAGCAUUUAACAUUGUUUUU